AUUGAACGCUGGCGGCAUGCCUUACACAUGCAAGUCGAACGGCAGCGCGGGAGCAAUCCUGGCGGCGAGUGGCGAACGGGUGAGUAAUACAUCGGAACGUGCCCAAUCGUGGGGGAUAACGCAGCGAAAGCUGUGCUAAUACCGCAUACGAUCUACGGAUGAAAGCAGGGGAUCGCAAGACCUUGCGCGAAUGGAGCGGCCGAUGGCAGAUUAGGUAGUUGGUGAGGUAAAGGCUCACCAAGCCUUCGAUCUGUAGCUGGUCUGAGAGGACGACCAGCCACACUGGGACUGAGACACGGCCCAGACUCCUACGGGAGGCAGCAGUGGGGAAUUUUGGACAAUGGGCGAAAGCCUGAUCCAGCCAUGCCGCGUGCAGGAUGAAGGCCUUCGGGUUGUAAACUGCUUUUGUACGGAACGAAACGGUCUUUUCUAAUAAAGAAGGCUAAUGACGGUACCGUAAGAAUAAGCACCGGUUAACUACGU
rnacentral:rRNA from 1 species